ACCUAGCCCCGAUAGAAGUAGAAAUCCUUUUUUGUUUUUUCUUUAAAAACAAAAAAGAUUGUAAGGAAUAGCGGGAUUAGCU
rnacentral:sRNA from 22 species